rnacentral:lncRNA from 1 species
GCCCCCUCAGGAGCCUGGGAGUGAGCAUCGCCUUCUCUGUCCCUGGUUUCUCCCGCUCUGACCGCCGUCUCUUUCCUUGUGAAGGUAUGUAAGAUCUUUCCAGUUUUAUUUGCCUGGUGUCUGGUUUUGCUUUGGGUGCUCAACUUGAACCCAAGUCAUCUGUUACAGGAAUGCUCUGUGGCUGAGCCCCACUUAGCUUUUCAGGGCUGUUCAUUUGCAGUUUUGGAAAUCCAAGCCCAGGGCCUCAACUGUGAAGAAUCGAUUUUCUUUUGUUUGUUUGUUUUUAUCAAAGGUAGCCUUGCCCUCCGAGGACUAAUAUUCCAUAAGUUUCCCCACCUCGUGAAACUUUUAUGUAGAUAAUUAAAAUCUUUUAAUCCUCUCCACCUGGUAAAACUUUUAUUUUCACAACACACACACACACACACACACACACAAAGAGACAGACAGACAGACAGACAGACACACACACACACACAAGUUCUUGAAUGUGAUAGCCUAGAACAGAGAACUCUUCCCCCUUUUUCUUAAUUUCUUUUACACGUAUUCUUUUAAAACCUAGUUAACCUCAAAAGACUCUGAGGUUGGACUCCCGCCAAUGGGGAAAAGACAGUCACCACCUGCAUUAAAAUAAAGACUAGGCACACUUCCUGCCCUGGUACGCUCGCCUGCCCUGGUACGCUCGCCUGCCCUGGUACGCUCGCCUGCCCUGGUACGCUCGCCUGCCCUGGUACGCUCGCCAGCCCUGGCACUCGCCAGCCCUGGCACUCGCCAGCCCUGGUAUGCUCGCCUGCCCUGGCACUCGCUAGCCCUGGUACUCGCCAGCCCUGGUAUGCUCGCCUGCCCUGGCACUCGCCAGCCCUGGUACUCGCCAGCCCUGGUACUCGCCUGCCCAUCCUUUUUUGUGAAAGAACUUGCCCUGUUGAGUUAUUUUCCCUCUGUCUCUGUGUCUUUGUUCAACACCAAGUAUUCUUGUUUCCACCACUCUGACUCCUAGAGAAGCGCUCUCCAUCCUGAGCCACCUCUCCAGCACAGUCUAUCAGACUUUCCGACUAAGCCUGUUAUGUAUGACCCUACAGGGUUAAGUGCUUUCUUUUACAACCAAGUUCCUGAAAAGACUAAGGUCCUAAACCCACUUCACAACAAAGUCACUUGGGGAAAAGAUAAAGACAAACCAGAUUUCCGCUGAACCCUGGGCCAGCAGGACCGUCUACUCUCCAGAGAGGAAAUGGCUGUCACUCCCACACCUUGCCCUUUCCCCACCCAACCUUUUGAGGUAUGUUGCCAUGGCUAGCCUGGGACUCACCUUUACACCAGGCAGUCCAGGACAAGGAAUCUAACAGGAGAUACAAAGAAGCUUUUCUGCACAGCUGCUGACUGCUGCCCUAGGCCUUGGGUUUGGUAUCUAGCACUGGGGGCAAAGUGGUUUUUCUUAUGUUUGCCUGAGAAGUCAAGGUCAGGGACAGAUGGGCCAGGCGAUUAGUAACACAGGCAGGCUGGGCAGCCUCAGAGCCCAAAGCCUGAGGACAGACACAGGCAAGGGCUUCUGCACUAAGAUUGCCUAGGAAUGAGGGGAAAGGAGAUUAGUGUGGAAGGGAGUGAACUCAUAUCCCCAUACACUGACAACAGGGACUCCACACUUACUUGAUCUGUAUAUAUAUAUAUAUGUAUAUAUUGUUAUAGCUUUAUAGAUGAUAUAAUUAUAUUUUAAGAGCACUUGCUGCUUCCACUUAAGCCAUCUCUCUAGAUCCUUUUGUUAUUUUUAAAGAUCUUAUAUUAGCCAUAUAUAGAGUCAUACAGUUUAAUCCCAGAACUUCAAAGGCAGAGGCAGGCAGAUCUCCAAAUUGGAGAGACAUGACCAACUCCAUCUUGGGAUCAGGCUCCAUCUUAGAGAACCUGACCUAAGGUUGAACUCAUUAACCAUCAAGCCUGACCUAUCACUGGUCUCCAGGUCACUCCCUAACAGCCACCAAUCAGGAGGAAAGCAGAAGUUACAGUUGUACCUUGACUAGGUCCAUGAGCCAGUCAAUGGGGUCUGCAAGAAAGGGAGUGGGGACUGAGGGGGCAAGAGACUGGAAGAAUGGAGACAACACAGGCUAUCUGAUCAAGUCUCCUUUAUUGGAAGGCAACUAUGGGUAUAUAAUCACAGGCUGGGGAGUGCAGCUGGAGACACUUAACCACAAGUCCAGGGUGUAUAGGGGAAAAACAAGAUGUUAUCAGAGUGUUCAGCUGUGGUGGGCUUCUUGCAAAAAUAUCUUAGGAAAACAAGUCUCUGGUCAGGGUGUAAGUGAAUAGCCCGUGAUGGCUGCUGAGGUGAUAGCCACUUUCUGCUAAGUAGCUAAAGAUAUUUACUUAUGAAAGUUUACUGUUUGGCUUCCAGCACCAGCCGAUCAUUUUAAAGGGCAAGUUCCAUGAUAGCUCCCCCCAACCAGAUGUGUGCCAAGCUGAACACCCCCUCUCUUGUUUGCUUGCUUCUAUACAUGCUUGCUUGAAACUGGGCUCAGGGCUUCACCCUCCUGUCCUGCUGCAUCAGUGACAGUGACGAUGGAGUGGCCCAAGCUCUAGCUUGAAUAAAGACCUGAAUGAGAUU